rnacentral:rRNA from 1 species
AGUGAACGCUGGCGGUAGGCCUAACACAUGCAAGUCGAACGGCAGCACAGUAAGAGCUUGCUCUUACGGGUGGCGAGUGGCGGACGGGUGAGGAAUACAUCGGAAUCUACUUUUUCGUGGGGGAUAACGUAGGGAAACUUACGCUAAUACCGCAUACGACCUACGGGUGAAAGCAGGGGAUCUCCGGACCUUGCGCGAUUGAAUGAGCCGAUGUCGGAUUAGCUAGUUGGCGGGGUAAAGGCCCACCAAGGCGACGAUCCGUAGCUGGUCUGAGAGGAUGAUCAGCCACACUGGAACUGAGACACGGUCCAGACUCCUACGGGAGGCAGCAGUGGGGAAUAUUGGACAAUGGGCGCAAGCCUGAUCCAGCCAUGCUGCGUGGGUGAAGAAGGCCUUCGGGUUGUAAAGCCCUUUUGUUGGGAAAGAAAAGCAGCAGGUUAAUACCCCGCUGUUCUGACGGUACCCAAAGAAUAAGCACCGGCUAACUUCGUG